rnacentral:miRNA from 1 species
AAGGUAUUGUUCAGACUUAUGA